rnacentral:rRNA from 1 species
UACGGAAGGCAGCAGUGGGGAAUCUUGCGCAAUGGGCGAAAGCCUGACGCAGCCAUGCCGCGUGAAUGAUGAAGGUCUUAGGAUUGUAAAAUUCUUUCACCGGGGACGAUAAUGACGGUACCCGGAGAAGAAGCCCCGGCUAACUUCGUGCCAGCAGCCGCGGUAAUACGAAGGGGCUAGCGUUGCUCGGAAUUACUGGGCGUAAAGGGAGCGUAGGCGGACAUUUAAGUCAGGGGUGAAAUCCCGGGGCUCAACCUCGGAAUUGCCUUUUGAUACUGGGUGUCUUGAGUAUGAGAGAGGUGUGUGGAACUCCGAGUGUAGAGGUGAAAUUCGUAGAUAUUCGGAAGAACACCAGUGGCGAAGGCGACACACUGGCUCAUUACUGCGCUGAGGCUCGAAAGCGUGGGGAGCAAACAGGGAUUAGAUACC